AUAAAAAAAAAUGGAUCCGAUGGAUCUGAUGGAUCCAAUGGAUCCGAUGGAUCUGAUCCAUCGGAUCCAUUUUUUUUUAUAU
rnacentral:miRNA from 1 species